GGCACCAUUUCUGCUUCGCCGGCACCGUGAAUCGCAACAGCUUGAUUUGUUCGUUAGUUUGCUGUUUAUUGUUUCCGCUGCUGAACUGCGCCUCUGUGUGUUGCGGAGCUUGCUUCGCCUCUGUGUGUUGACCCGCAGAGCGUGAUUUUUGUGCGUUCUGAAGCCCGGGAGCUAGUUGCAACAGCAUUUAGGUAGUGUAUUUCCCCAUUUUUACCCAUUCAGGAGGUCAAAUUGAUGCUUGCUUUCAUCCAGAUUGUACUAGGAGCGUUAAAUUGGUUGUUAUUUUGUGCAUCCGUUCCUUUUGACUUGUUUCUUAAUGCGUUAUUUCACACUCCCAACCCUUUUUGUCUCCCUUGUUCUAGGUUCUUGGCCCCUUCUUUCUCCCUUUGUACUGGCGGUUUGUCUUCUGAAUCACCUGUUGCUAUCUUGUUUUGAGUAAGGUUUUUCCUUUCACACCCCCCUGUCCUGCAUUCGCAUUGAUCUAUACAUGUGUCACAUACCUACAAAUCAAUGUGUUUAUCUUCGUGAAGGAUUCAAUCAUUUUUUACGAUUACGAGCCACAUGCCCAGCACCGCUGUUUUGUUGAUUCGUAGCAUCGUAUGUUUGUUUACUUUUGUUUCAUUCAGUUUCAUUUGAAAAUCUAUUCAUUUUUAUAGGCCUGCUAGCUCGUGUUGUGGUAUUCUGUUUUUGCAGUGCCCUUUGUAGUGUUAGUUCCUAGUGUCUAAUCAGAGGCUUAUUAGAUUUUGUUCUGUUACUCAAAAUAGUGUUUCUGCAACUCUCUGCAUUUGUUAACUCAAUUUUUUUUGUGUGGUUGAUAGGCGCAAGUAUAUAGUAAAGCAUGUAUACAGCAAACUUCUUCAACGCAGACACAUUUUUUUAGUCUACUUUGCACCCAGUUUUUUUAGUCUAUUUUUAUUUUUGUUGCAAUAAUUUUAUUGGAAUAUAGAUGUUUUUUGCACAUGAGAAUCAUUAAAUUGCAACUUUCGCCAACUGUUUUUUGCACGAUUUAUUAGGCGCAAUUUUCUGUACCUAUUAAGCUAUAUAUGUUCUCAUGUCACUCUUGUUUUGUUGUUAUCUAGGUGCAAUUAUCAGGUUUUUCAAACAAUAAUCGCUUGUUUCUUGCUAAUGGAGGUACAGAUUAGUUUUGUAUAAGUUCAUACAUAUCAAGCUUAACUAUUUUGUUUUGAGUUUGGUUUCUCAAACAUAAAUUAUUAUGACAUCUCCUGUUUUUUUUUUGUGCUGCAAGGCAGCAAGGGUCCUUGUGAUGUAUGCCGGAAGCCAAGCGGACCAUGUAAAGUUAAACCAACAGAAAAGAGCUUUUUUUGCGUCUACCUCAUCGAAUUAUUUGAGGACCACGUGGUAUAAUUUCUUUAGUUUUUGCGGUACUAAUUUUACCUAUCAAUGUAUAUGAUAUAUUCUCAAGGUCUGUAUUCUCAAAUAAGAGUGAUUGUAGCUUUUCUGAUUUCUGUUAUUUUAUGUUUCCCUUUUUGUGUCUAUGCAGACUGUUCCUUGCUACAUACGCGAGCAGUUCAACAAGUUGGCAUCCGACAUCGUAGCUUUGCAAAAUAGCGAUGGGUUUGAUUACACUGUACAAGUUGAAGUCAUGGACAAUGUCACCGUUUUGCAUGGAAACAAGUGGAAAGAGUUGAUCAUUGUCUAGCCCUAUGAGAUACCUUGACAUUCAUGUUUCCAGACAAGGAGGAACACAUCUUCAUAACUCAGUGCACAAACAAAAGGUGCCAGAUCAAGCAACGACUUGAUAAGUCAGCUUCGAUUCUCAUGUGUUUCAUACUCUGUGUUUUGAUUAACAGAGCCCUUUGUUUAAUGCCAGAUUUUCAUAUUUAAAAAAAAUGAUUGACCAUGUUCGUUGUUCUAAUAUCCAUUCUGUUUUUUUGUAGUAUCUUAUG
rnacentral:lncRNA from 1 species